GGUGACAGAGUGAGAUCUUUCUCUUUAAAAAAAAAAAAAAAAAAAAUCUUAAAAUCUUAAUUCCUUAAUAGUGGACUCUAUUACUUUUUGCCUUUUAGCCACAAAAACUGGUAGGGAAAGCUAUAUUCUCUCAUCUUAACACAAAAAAAUGUGUUUUCAAUUCCCACUCUUUUUUUUACUUUUUCAGCAUAAGGAAAGAUAUAUUUACCUUGUUUAAACUGAUUAAUUCCUUAUAGUCAAAUUUUAAAUUUGUGGGAAGUUGCUAAUAGCCCCAGUCUUUCCAGUUUAGGUGAAUUUUUUAUCUUAUUUAAAUAACAAUGAGUUUUAAGAAAUUUAUAGGAGCCACCUUUUUAUUAUAAUUACAUUGAUUUUAUAUGAUAUAGCUAGGACUCAUUGUCUUCAUAAAUGCAAGAUCUGUUAUGUGCCCUCAGAUUUAUAUAAUCUACAUUUUUAGAUUCUGGGUCACAAUUAUCACUGUGUGUUUUUUUUUUUUUUUUUUU